UACGUAGGGGGCUAGCGUUGUCCGGAAUCAUUGGGCGUAAAGCGCGUGUAGGCGGUCCGGUAAGUCCGCUGUGAAAGUCGAGGGCUCAACCCUCGAAUGCCGGUGGAUACUGUCGGGCUUGAGUACGGGAGAGGCGAGUGGAAUUCCUGGUGUAGCGGUGAAAUGCGCAGAUAUCAGGAGGAACACCGAUUGCGAAGGCAGAUCUCUGGGCCGUAACUGACGCUGAGGAGCGAAAGCGUGGGGAGCGAACCGG
rnacentral:rRNA from 1 species